UCCUCCCUCUGAACCCGCCCCCUUUGGCUGGCCCAAUCCGCUGAUGCCAUCGUCUUAGGCCCUACCCAGACUCCAAAUCUGGCUGGUUUAAUGCUCCCAGCGCUUUUCGUCCGCUCCUGGCUAUGAUUUGCUGAGUGACUACUACAUGUAGGGGAGGACUCAAUUCCACAGCUUCACUUUAGCAUUUGGCUCACGAUAAAGAGUCCGUGCAACUCCCUCCAAGACACAUUUUUGUCUCAAACUCAAUUCCAAGCUUCGGGUCAAAGCCCUAGGAAAGAAGACUGGAUCUGAGGGAUCCAGAGGAAGAUGACAAUGGAAGUUAAAAGGCGCGGCACAGCUUCAGGUCAUCAAACUCCAAACAGACAUGCAACCAGAGCCUUGGAUGAUGGCCCCUUCUGCAGGGGACCCUAAGAUAGGCCUCUGAGGGAGAUCUGACUGCCAUCUUCCCAAAACAGCACCCCUGCCAGCAGGAAGCAGUUAAGAUUGGUCUUUGUCCUUAGCCUCACUCUAAGGGCAGUUAGAUGUACUUCUUUAGAUGGGGAAAUGAGACAGCCAAGUAUAAAGGAGUUCCCAGAGAACCUCUAACUGACCUGUGCACUGGGAGAAUGGGGUGGAGCCAUGGAAGUUCACGCUGUUUGCAGUGGGGAGGAGCCUGGCCCCUCCUGUUCCUGUGAGGAACCUGGGAUUCAAUCUGUGAGAUGAGGACCUGUUAACAGGAAUCCCUCUCUUGCUUUGCUGUGUUGUUUUUCCUUUUUCCCCAAUAAAUUCCAUCCUCCUUGCCCCUCAAAGUUUCUGCGAGCCUAAUCUUUCCUGUUCAUGUGAAAAGAACCUGGA